UAUCUCUGAGGGAGGAAAUGGGUCAGGUUAACUUUGAUAUAUCUGAGGGAGGAAAUGGGUCAGGUUGACUUUGAUAUCUCUGAGGGAGGAAAUGGGUCAGUUUACCUUUGAUAUCACUGAUGGAGGAAAUGGGUCAAGUUAACUUUGAAAUAUAUCACUGAGGGAGGAAAUGAGUUUGGUUAACUUUGAUAUCACUGAGGGAGGAAAUGGGUCAGGUUAACUUUGAUAUCUCUGAGGGAGGAAAUGGGUCAGGUUAACUUUGGUAUCACUGAGGGAGGAAAUGGGUCAGGUUAACUUUGAUAUCACUGAGGGAGGAAAUGGGUCAGGUUACCUUUGAUAUCACUUAGGGAGGAAAUGGGUCAGGUUAACUUUGAUAUAUCUGAGGGAGGAAAUGGGUCUGGUUAACAUAGAUAUCUUUCAGGGAUAAGAACUGGGUCAGGCUUUUCCUGAGGAAAUGGUUUGGUAAGUGGAUAACUUUUACAGAACCCAUCCUUAAUUUUAGUGGGAAGAUAUUGGUCAAUUUAACCUACCAUAUGAAGCUAGAUAUCCCUGAGUAUAAACAGUUUGACAUUGUCCCACGGUCUAGAUAUCCCCGAGGGAGAGGUAUGUAUUAUACCCAGUAUAAACAGUAUGACAUUGUCCCACGGACUAGAUAUCCCCGAGGGAGACGUAUGUAUUAUACCCAGUAUAAACAGUAUGACAUUGUCCCACGGACUAGAUAUCCCCGAGGGAGAGGUAUGUUUUAUACCCAGUACAAACAGUAUGACAUUGUCCCACGGACUAGAUAUCCCCCAGGGAGAAGUAUGUUUUAUACCCAGUAUAAACUGUUUGACAUUGUCCCACAGACUAGAUAUCCCCAAGGGAGAGGUAUGUUUUAUACCGAGUAUAAACUGUUUGACAUUGUCCCACGGACUAGAUAUCCCCAAGGGAGAGGUAUGUUUUAUACCGAGUAUAAACUGUUUGACAUUGUCCGACGGACUAGAUAUCCCUGAGGGAGAGGUAUGUUUUAUACCGAGUAUAAACUGUAUGACAUUGUCCUAAGGACAAGAAGGUUAUGGCAAUAUGCAUGUAAGAAAAACAGGGAGAAAACUAUGCAAAUGAGUGAUGUGAUUAAAAUGUAUAACAUAUUUGAGUUAAAGAGUGAUGUAUGAGGGUAUGGUGUGUGAACUAAGUAUGGAUAUUCAGCACUUAAUCCUGUGUGAACAAACAUAGUCAAGUCAGGUUGAGUGGUGUAUGAGGGUACAUACAGUCAAGUCAGGUUGAGUGGUGUAUGAGGGUACAAACAGUCUAGUUAGGUUUAGUUUGUAUGAGGGUACAUACAGUCUAGUUAGGUUUAGUUUGUAUGAGGGUACAUACAGUCUAGUUAGGUUGAGUGGUGUAUGAGGGUACAUACAGUCUAGUUAGGUUGUGUGGUGUAUGAGGGUACAUACAGUCGAGUUAGGUUGAGUGGUGUGUGAGGGUACAUACAGUCUAGUUAGGUUUAGUUUGUAUGAGGGUACAUACAGUCGAGUUAGGUUGAGUGGUGUAUGAGGGUACAUACAGUCGAGUUAGGUUGAGUGGUGUAUGAGGGUACAUACAGUCUAGUUAGGUUGAGUGGUGUAUGAGGGUACAUACAGUCGAGUUAGGUUGUGUGGUGUAUGAGGGUACAUACAGUCUAGUUAGGUUGAGUGGUGUAUGAGGGUACAUACAGUCUAGUUAGGUUGAGUUUCUAUGAGUGUACAUACAGUCUAGUUAGGUUGAGUGGUGUAUGAGGGUACAUACAGUCUAGUUAGGUUUAGUUUGUAUGAGGGUACAUACAGUCUAGUUAGGUUUAGUUUGUAUGAGGGUACAUACAGUCUAGUUAGGUUGAGUGGUGUAUGAAGGUACAUACAGUCGAGUUAGGUUUAGUUUGUAUGAGGAUACAUACAGUCGAGUUAGGUUGAAAGGUGUAUGAGGGUACAUACAGUCUAGUUAGGUUGAGUGGUGUAUGAGGGUACAUACAGUCUAGUUAGGUUUAGUUUGUAUGAGGGUACAUACAGUCUAGUUAGGUUGAGUGGUGUAUGAGGGUACAUACAGUCUAGUUGGGUUGAGUGGUGUAUGAGGGUACAUACAGUCUAGUUAGGUUUAGUUUGUAUGAGGGUACAUACAGUCGAGUUAGGUUGAACAGUGUAUGAGGGUACAUACAGUCUAGUUAGGUUUAGUUUGUAUGAGGGUACAUACAGUCGAGUUAGGUUGAACAGUGUAUGAGGGUACAUACAGUCUAGUUAGGUUUAGUUUGUAUGAGGGUACAUACAGUCGAGUUAGGUUGAGUGGUGUGUGAGGGUACAUACAGUCUAGUUAGGUUGAGUGGUGUAUGAGGGUACAUACAGUCUAGUUAGGUUUAGUUUGUAUGAGGGUACAUACAGUCGAGUUAGGUUGAGUGGUGUAUGAGGGUACAUACAGUCGAGUUAGGUUGAGUGGUGUAUGAGGGUACAUACAGUCUAGUUAGGUUGAGUGGUGUAUGAGGGUACAUACAGUCGAGUUAGGUUGUGUGGUGUAUGAGGGUACAUACAGUCUAGUUAGGUUGAGUGGUGUAUGAGGGUACAUACAGUCUAGUUAGGUUGAGUUUCUAUGAGUGUACAUACAGUCUAGUUAGGUUGAGUGGUGUAUGAGGGUACAUACAGUCUAGUUAGGUUUAGUUUGUAUGAGGGUACAUACAGUCUAGUUAGGUUUAGUUUGUAUGAGGGUACAUACAGUCUAGUUAGGUUGAGUGGUGUAUGAAGGUACAUACAGUCGAGUUAGGUUUAGUUUGUAUGAGGAUACAUACAGUCGAGUUAGGUUGAAAGGUGUAUGAGGGUACAUACAGUCUAGUUAGGUUGAGUGGUGUAUGAGGGUACAUACAGUCUAGUUAGGUUUAGUUUGUAUGAGGGUACAUACAGUCUAGUUAGGUUGAGUGGUGUAUGAGGGUACAUACAGUCUAGUUAGGUUGAGUGGUGUAUGAGGGUACAUACAGUCUAGUUAGGUUUAGUUUGUAUGAGGGUACAUACAGUCGAGUUAGGUUGAACAGUGUAUGAGGGUACAUACAGUCUAGUUAGGUUUAGUUUGUAUGAGGGUACAUACAGUCGAGUUAGGUUGAACAGUGUAUGAGGGUACAUACAGUCUAGUUAGGUUUAGUUUGUAUGAGGGUACAUACAGUCGAGUUAGGUUGAGUGGUGUGUGAGGGUACAUACAGUCUAGUUAGGUUGAGUGGUGUAUGAGGGUACAUACAGUCUAGUUAGGUUGAGUGGUGUAUGAGGGUACAUACAGUCUAGUUAGGUUGAGUGGUGUAUGAGGGUACAUACAGUCUAGUUAGGUUGAGUGGUGUAUGAGGGUACAUACAGUCUAGUUAGGUUGAGUGGUGUAUGAGGGUACAUACAGUCUAGUUAGGUUUAGUUUGUAUGAGGGUACAUACAGUCUAGUCAGGUUUAGUUUGUAUGAGGAUACAUACAGUCGAGUUAGGUUGAACGGUGUAUGAGGGUUUGGAGUGUAGGUAAAUUAAGUCAAACAUACUGGUUGUUAUUUCAAUAUUUGCAUUGUUAGUUGUGUAAAGUUAAUUUGUCAAUGUU